UGUGAUGGAGCCCUGCUUUCCUGGAGAUGGCUGAACAUCUGCCUGCCGAUAGGAAGUAGUGAAUGAAUUCCUUGUUUUGUUCCGCUCCUGCGUCGAGCUUUUCCUUUACUUGUUAAACUGUCUUUAUCUCAAACCAUGAGUUACCUCACUUUUACUCUUCCAAUUCUCUCCCCGUCCCACCGUGGGGGGAGUGAGCGAGCAGCUACGUGGUGCUUGGUUGCUGACUGGGGCUAAACCACGACAGCUGCUUAGAAAAUAAGGUAAUAGAAAAUGGUGCAGCUUUCUACCCCAGUGCUCGUGCUGUUCUAAUUAGUUAUGAUAAUCCUGGUUCAGAUCCCAUUUCUGCUCUAAAUCAAAGCACAGGAGCUGUGGAGUGUCCUGAUUCCUGCAAGGUCUCCUUUAGCUGUUUAUUUCUCAUGUGUGCUGGGUUGAAUUCUUUACAUUUCUUCUGAUUUAUGUGCUACCGUUCUAUUUUAGCAUGUUUCAGUUAACAACAAUGGGACUAGAACUCUACUUCCCUGUUACCCUGCCAACACCCCUGGAAUUAAGUUUUUCUACAGGAAAAAUGGUAUGCUGAUCUUGAGUGUGUGCGUGGUAGCUCAUCCUUCCUGAAGAACACUCCUGUUGAAAGGGUGCCCAUAGCCUCCAUUGACCUACCUGAUAAAAGUGAUGAGUGCUGAAUCAGGACACUUACAAGCCCUCAAGAUGUGAGAAGUGGCCAGUCUCCUCAGCUCUUGCAUCAGACAAAACCUAAUCUCCCCAUGCUCUGCCAGGUGCACAAGAAGUUGGAAGGGGACACAGUCAGGACAGCUGACCCAAACUGACCAACGGGAUAUUCCAUACCAUAUGACGUCAUACUCAGUAUAUAAAGCUGGGGGAAGAAGAAGGAAGGGGGGACGUUUGGAGUAAUGGCAUUUGUCUUCCCAAGUAACGUGUGAUGGAGC